GAGACCAGGAGCGAACACCCAGAGCACAGUUAUGAUUUCCAGUCCGUUCCGGUUUGUUUUUGUUUGAGCACUAGUCAAAUUAAGUAAUCCUCAGCUGAAAAGUUGGAGGAGCUGGACCUGGCCGGGAAGGCAGGUGGUCAUCAUCAGAAUCCUGCACUUAACAGAUGAGCAGGGCUUGCUACAGCAUCCUACAGCAUGUUUGUCUCUCUUCAAACAUCUCCUGAUAAGCAAAGAUAGAUCAACCCAAAGUCUCCAGUGUGAAAACGCAGAGGAGAAUUAGGAUACAUUCAGACAGCUGACCUUAAUGCUCAAUUCUGAUUUGUUGCUCAAAUCCCAUUGUUUUAGACUGGCUCUUCAUUUUUGAAAGUGACCCAGAAAUGCGUAGCAUAAACAUUACUUUGCCAGUGUACCUGCAACAUUUCUAACGUGAUGCCCCCAAAUGUUCGCUGGCUUCGUGCCGAAGGAGAUGGAACAGACUCCAGAACAAACCAUCUGCUCUCAAUCAUGUAAAGGUCAAACGUGCACAUGAAUUUGCACACCAUUUUGUGUCGGAACCACCGUAGGAAAGGGGAUAGAGCAUUUGGUAUGUGGAGCCGGCAUCAGCACAGUACAGAUUUCCAUCUGAUUUUAAUAAAUUGCAUCCAUACCUCUUCCCAGAAUGCACCCUUUGUUUGGGAACGCUUAAAAUGCAAGGAUUUCCGCGGGGUCCGCAUAUUUUAUUCAAUGCAUUUGUCCUGAAUGAGGUAUAUGCCGCUUUUCUGAAAUGGGUUUUUGUUUCUCACCAAGCUUAAUCCUGCUGUCCAUCCCGCCAAAGGUGCUUUUCAAUAGGAUAGGGGAAAAUGGAAUUAUUUAGCAGAGAUUUCUCUGCCAGAACGCUGACGGUGUCAUUUUUCCAUUUGCAAGCUGACAGAAUAAAAAAGGCUGAAGCUCGGAUAACAGGAGCAGAUGCAUUUGUAAGUGUUUCCAUCUGAGUCUGGUUACUCAUACCUGACGCUUCAGGAACAUCCUCUGCUUCAGUAUGGAGACUGAGUGGCUCAGAAGCGUUAAUAAUUUUUAACAGCAUAAACACAGCAUAAUGCAGCUUCAGCACAGAGCUCUCAAAGGAAUGCAAGUAUGGACACAAAAUAAUAAAAAGAGGCCAACAGCACAGACCAUUUAAUUUAUUUAUCUCUCAAUUGUGAGGCCUGAGGAUGAAUGGUCUCAUU